UACGAGUGCCCCAAGCGUUAUCCGGAAUUAUUGGGCGUAAAGGGUGUGUAGGUGGUCUUGUUAGUCUUCUGUGAAAUUCUUCGGCUUAACCGGGGGUCCGCAGGGGAAACGGCAGGACUAGAGGAUGCGAGAGGUGUGCGGAACUCAUGGUGUAGGGGUGAAAUGCGUAGAUAUCUGGAGGAAUACCGGUGGCGAAGGCGGCAUCCUGGACCGGCAUUGACGCUGAUGAGCGAAAGCUAGGGGAGCAAACGGG
rnacentral:rRNA from 1 species